AAUAGUGUAAUCUAAAUAAGAUGUUUCAUUGAUGUUGGAAAAACAGAGGGAUCUUACUAUUA
rnacentral:tRNA from 1 species